AUUGAACGCUGGCGGCAGGCCUAACACAUGCAAGUCGAACGAGUGGCGGACGGGUGAGUAAUGUCUGGGAAACUGCCUGAUGGAGGGGGAUAACGACUGGAAACGGUAGCUAAUACCGCAUACCAUCGGAUGUGCCAAGAUGGGAUUAGCUAGUAGGUGGGGUAACGGCUCACCUAGACGACGAUCCCUAGCUGGGCGUCUAGGCUGACCGGCCACACUGGAACUGUGACACGGUCCAGACUCGUACGGUAGGCAGCAGUUGGGAAUAUUGCACAAUGGGCGCAAGUCUGAUGCAGCCAUGCCGCGUGUAUGAAGACGGCCUUCGGGUUGUAAAGGACUUUCAGCGGGGAGGCGUUACCCGCAGAAGAAGCACCGGCUAACUCCGUGCCAGCAGCCGCGGUAAUAC
rnacentral:rRNA from 1 species